rnacentral:RNase_P_RNA from 1 species
CUGGAUAAUUGCUGACGUAAGUUAGAGGAAAGUCCAUGCUCGCACAGGCUGAGAUGCCUGUAGUGAUUGCGCUAACGGAAAAAAUAACGUUAGGCACGCAGGAGUGCGUGACGGCAGAGUAAGACCUAAGGGAAACUAUGGUGGAGCUCUUGAAAGUGCCACAGUGACGAAGUUUUAUGGAAACAUAAAAGUGGAACGCGGUAAACCCCACAAGCGAGAAACCCAAAUUUGGUAGGGGAAAUCAAUCGAGGGAAUUUAACUGAGAUUGGUAAGCAUUGCUUAGAUAAAUAAUUAUCCUAGACAAAACAUGGCUUAUAG